AAAUAAUACCAUAUUUUAGGCACCUAAUCUUAGGUUUAAUAGGGAAAUUGGUGAAAAUCCAAUGCAACCCCCGUUACUGUAUACAGUUACAAAACCAAUGUCCACUGGAGUUUUCUCUGGGAAGGAUGGUUGAGGCUAAACUGUGAGCCAGGAGACCUACCUAAAAUAUUAUGGAACU
rnacentral:ncRNA from 2 species